AUAGUAGCGCAAGAGGAAGAGACGGCUAACUCUGUGCCAGCAGCCGCGGUAAUACAGAGGUCUCAAGCGUUGUUCGGAAUCACUGGGCGUAAAGGGUGCGCAGGUGGUCAUGUAAGUCAAAUGUGAAAGACUGGGGCUCAACCUCAGAUUUGCAUGUGAUACUGCGUGACUUGAGAACUGAAGAGGGAUCUUGAAUUCACGGUGUAGCAGUGAAAUGCGUAGAUAUCGUGAGGAACACCAAAGGCGAAAGCAGGAUCCUGGUCAGCUUCUGACACUCAUGCACGAAGGCUAGGGGAGCAAACGGGAUUAGAUACCCCGGUAGUCCUAGCAGUAAACGGUGCAUGCUUGGUAUGGGAAUUUAGACAUUUUCCGUGCCGUAGUUAACACGUUAAGCAUGCCGCCUGGGAAGUACGGUCGCAAGACUAAAACUCAAAGAAAUUGACGGGGACCCGCACAAGCGGUGGAGUAUGUGGCUUAAUUCGAUGCAACGCGAUGAACCUUACCUGGACUUGACAUGCAUCUAUAAACUGCGGAAACGUAGUGACCGUAGCAA
rnacentral:rRNA from 1 species